rnacentral:rRNA from 1 species
GAUGAACGCUAGCUACAGGCUUAACACAUGCAAGUCGAGGGGAAACGGCAUCGAAAGCUUGCUUUUGAUGGGCGUCGACCGGCGCACGGGUGAGUAACGCGUAUCCAACCUGCCCAUCACUUGGGAAUAACCUUGCGAAAGUAAGACUAAUACCCAAUGACAUCCCACGAAGACAUCUGAAUGGGAUUAAAGAUUUAUCGGUGAUGGAUGGGGAUGCGUCUGAUUAGCUUGUUGGCGGGGUAACGGCCCACCAAGGCAACGAUCAGUAGGGGUUCUGAGAGGAAGGUCCCCCACAUUGGAACUGAGACACGGUCCAAACGCCUACGGGAGGCAGCAGUGAGGAAUAUUGGUCAAUGGGCGAGAGCCUGAACCAGCCAAGUAGCGUGCAGGAUGACGGCCCUAUGGGUUGUAAACUGCUUUUAGAAGGGAAUAAAGUGGGUCUCGGGAGACUUUUUGCAUGUACCUGAUGAAUAAGGACCGGCUAAUUCCGUG